UACGGGGGGGGCAAGCGUUGUUCGGAAUUACUGGGCGUAAAGGGCUCGUAGGUGGCCAACUAAGUCAGACGUGAAAUCCCUCAGCUUAACUGGGGAACUGCGUCUGAUACUGGAUGGCUUGAGUUUGGGAGAGGGAUGCGGAAUUCCAGGUGUAGCGGUGAAAUGCGUAGAUAUCUGGAGGAACACCGGUGGCGAAGGCGGCAUCCUGGACCAACACUGACACUGAGGAGCGAAAGCCAGGGAGCAAACGGG
rnacentral:rRNA from 1 species